rnacentral:tRNA from 1 species
ACAUACGUGGAUUGGUAGUUAGAGUAUUCGACUUGCGAUCGUAGGGUCGCGAGUUCGAUUCUCGCCGGGCGCA